CGCAUCUGUGCAUGCAGCAUAUCAAUAAGCGGAGGAAAAGAAACUAACAAGGAUUCCCCUAGUAACGGCGAGUGAAGCGGGAAGAGCUCAAAUUUGAAAUCUUAAAGGGUUUCCCUUUACGAAUUGUAGUUUAAAGAAGUGUUUUCUGUUGAGGUUUUGGUAAAAGUUCUUUGGAAUAGGACAUCAUAGAGGGUGAGAAUCCCGUAUUUGACCUUUACUUUCAACUUUGUGAUACACUUUCAAAGAGUCGGAUUGUUUGGGAAUGCAGUCCAAAAUGGGUGGUAUAUUUCAUCUAAAGCUAAAUAUUGGCGAGAGACCGAUAGCGAACAAGUACCGUGAGGGAAAGAUGAAAAGAACUUUGAAAAGAGAGUUAAACAGUACGUGAAAUUGUCAAAAGGGAAGCGUUUGACACCAGUGUUGUUUUUCUGAAAAUCAAUUAAAGAACUGUUUAUGCUAAGCUGUUUAGACUUUAUCAGCUAUCUGUUUAGUUUUGAGCUUUUCUUUAAUGCACUUUUCAGUUAACAAGUCAACAUCAAUUUCUUUUGCUGUAAAAAAGCUUGAGGAAGGUGGCUUGAGAUUCGUCUUAAGUGUUUAUAGCCUCUUGCCUAUGCAGUCGGAGAGAUUGAGGUCUGCAGCGUAGAUCCUUCGGGGCUAAAUGCAUUUGUGCUAAGUUAUAGCAUUUUAUAGACAACUUGUUGACUAUGAUUUGUCUUGUAGCUUACUCGCUUAUGUUAUUUUACCUACGCUUAGGAUGUUGAAUCUGUGCGAGACUAC
rnacentral:rRNA from 1 species